rnacentral:rRNA from 1 species
UAAGGAAUAUUGGUCAAUGGACGCAAGUCUGAACCAGCCAUGCCGCGUGGAGGAUGAAGGUCCUCUGGAUUGUAAACUUCUUUUAUCGGAGAAGAAACCCCGGAAAUCUUUCUGGGUUGACGGUACCCGAUGAAUAAGCACCGGCUAACGCCGUGCCAGCAGCCGCGGUAAUACGGAGGGUGCAAGCGUUAUCCGGAUUCACUGGGUUUAAAGGGUGCGUAGGUGGGAUGGUAAGUCAGUGGUGAAAUCUCCAAGCUUAACUUGGAAACUGCCGUUGAUACUAUCAUUCUUGAAUCUCGUGGAGGUAAGCGGAAUAUGUCAUGUAGCGGUGAAAUGCUUAGAUAUGACAUAGAACACCGAUAGCGAAGGCAGCUUGCUACACGAGUAUUGAUACUGAGGCACGAAAGCGUGGGGAUCAAAC